rnacentral:ribozyme from 14 species
AUGUUCAAUAUCCUUCUUUUUUGUCUUUAUUUGCCAUGCAACAAAAUCUAUAUCUUACCUCCUUUCUCUUUUAUAUUUUGGAAUAUUAUUAAAAAUACAGGAGCUGCAGGAGGAUC